GACGAACGCUGGCGGCGUGCUUAACACAUGCAAGUCGAACGGUAAGGCCCUUCGGGGUACACGAGUGGCGAACGGGUGAGUAACACGUGGGUGAUCUGCCCUGCACUUCGGGAUAAGCCUGGGAAACUGGGUCUAAUACCGGAUAGGACUCCUGCCUGCAUGGGUGGGGGUGGAAAGCUUUUGCGGUGUGGGAUGGGCCCGCGGCCUAUCAGCUUGUUGGUGGGGUGAUGGCCUACCAAGGCGACGACGGGUAGCCGGCCUGAGAGGGUGACCGGCCACGCUGGGACUGAGAGACGGCCCAGACUCCUACGGGAGGCAGCAGUGGGGAAUAUUGCACAAUGGGCGCAAGCCUGAUGCAGCGACGCCGCGUGAGGGAUGACGGCCUUCGGGUUGUAAACCUCUUUCAGCACAGACGAAGCGCAAGUGACGGUAUGUGCAGAAGAAGGACCGGCCAACUAUGUGCCAGCCGCCGCCGUAA
rnacentral:rRNA from 1 species